GAUGAGACAGCCAGACGUUACCCUACGGAACGAGCUCAGAGCUCAUUAUUUCCGAUCUUCGGAUAGGCCUGAGACCAGGCACACACCACACACCGGGACAACAAGGUCACAACUCCUCGAUUUACGUCCCAUACAUACUCACUGCUAUGUGAACAGGGGCUACAUGUGAAAGGAGACACACCCAAAUAUCUCCACCCGGCCGGGGAAUCGAACCCCGGUCCUCUGGCUUGUGAAGCCAGCGCUCUAACCACUGAGCUACCGGGUGUGUGUGUGUGUGUGUGUGUGUGUAAUUCUUCACCUCGAUCACCUGCUGGUCACCCAGCCAGUCUUCCUCAUUACGGAGCAAGCUGUGUGUGUGUGUGUUUCAUGUUUUCCUCUAGGAUGCCUACUAGUUUUGUACUAUUUGGUUUAAUCUAAUCUUAGUCUCUCCUUCACAGUUUAUACAAGGUUAUAUAAAAAAGUAAAGUUUACGUACAAAAAUAAAUCUUCAUUUGUUAAAAAUUGAAUAAUUUUUAGUUUACAUUUGCACACUUUUUCUUCAAACAUAAUUUUUUAAAUGAUAAAUUCUUUGUAAAUUCAAAAUAAGUAUUUGAUAGUACAUAAAUUGUGUAAUACAUAUAUAGGAGCUGAGCUUUGCUCAUUUUAUUAUGGCUCUGUAUCUAUAUUUAUUUUUAGCUUAUAGCUGCAUUCAUAUACAGUGUGUAUAUAUAUAUAUAUAUAUAUAUAUAUAUAUAUAUAUAUAUAUAUAUAUAUAUAUAUAUAUAUAUAAUUAAGUUUUCCACAUUAAAAGAAAAGUGAUGAUAUUCUCAAAUACAAUUAAUUUCUUUUACUAUUUAUGCCUCUGUUAUUUUCUGACACUUACUCUUCCAUUAUUCCCUUCCUAUUUGAAUUACAGAUGUAUAUAAUUGUGUAACUGUCACUAAGUAGUUUGGCUAGCAUUCUCUACAUAUUUUACAUUUUUUCAACCAAAUGCAAGGGCUCUAGUGUGUGUUUAGCAUUAAUGUGACUUUUCAACAAGAAGAAUUUCAGACUUUUAAACUGCAAAAUUUGUGAAAAGUUGAAAAGUUUGGCACAAGUAUAAUAUUUGUAAUGACCAAAAA